GAUGAACGCUAGCUACAGGCUUAACACAUGCAAGUCGCGGGGUAACAUCUGGUAGAGCUUGCUCUUCCAGGAUGACGACCGGCGCACGGGUGAGUAACGCGUAUCCAACCUGGCCCAUACCACGGGAUAGCCCGUCGAAAGGCGGAUUAAUACCGUAUGCUGUCAUUAAGAUGCAUAUAUUGAUGACGAAAGGACUGGCGGUAUGGGAUGGGGAUGCGUCUGAUUAGCUUGUUGGCGGGGUAACGGCCCACCAAGGCGACGAUCAGUAGGGGUUCUGAGAGGAAGGUCCCCCACAUUGGAACUGAGACACGGUCCAAACUCCUACGGGAGGCAGCAGUGAGGAAUAUUGGUCAAUGGGCGCAAGCCUGAACCAGCCAAGUAGCGUGAGGGAAGACUGCCCUACGGGUUGUAAACCUCUUUUGUCGGGGAGUAACGUGCGGGACGGGUCCCGUAUUGAGAGUACCCGAAGAAAAACGCAUCGGCUAACUCCGUGCCAG
rnacentral:rRNA from 1 species